rnacentral:rRNA from 2 species
AUAAAUUAAAGGUAGUAUUUAAAUAAAAGAAACCUAAUUGCAAUGGCGGCAAGAAAUAUUUCCAGGGGAUUUUGUCAUAUAAUCGCCAACCCGCGAUGGAACUAACUCUUUAAAAUUCUUCAUAUCAUUGUUUGAAGCGAAAGAUAAAGUUAUUUUGCUAAUAGAGGUUUAAAACAAAUCAAGACAAAAAUUAUAGUAGGAAUAGAAUACUUUAAGAAAAAUAGAAGGUGAAGAAUAACACCAAACAAAGAACUUGCGACUAAAAAUUUGAAAUGUAUUAAGUUUUGAAUAUCCAUUUCUCGUACAUAUCGCCCGUCACUCUU